GAGAAAAGACAACCAGAGUCUUCACAAGAGAAAUGGGCAAGCUCCUGUGGGCAUCACUAUUGACUCUGUGGCUUCAGGCAGACUGGGUGGAUAGUCAACAGAAGAAUGGUGACCAGCAGCAGGUUAAGCAACAUUCUCCAUCCCUGAGUGUGCAAGAAGGAGAAAUUUCUAUUCUGAACUGCGACUACAGUAAUAGUUUGUUUGAUUACUUUGCAUGGUACAAAAAAUACCCUGCUACAGGUCCUGCGUUCUUGAUAUCGAUACGUUCAGUUAAGGUUGAAAAUGAAAAUGAAAGAUUCACAGUCUUCCUCAAUGUGAGUGCCAAACACCUAUCUCUGCACAUCUCAGCUUCCCAGCCUGAAGACUCAGCCUUGUACCUCUGCGCAGCGAGUACACAGUGCUCUCCAGGCACCUGCAGACUGUACGCAAACCUGCAGCUAGGGCCACGCCAACCCCUACUUUGGGAUCUCGGACUGGGAGGCACACAGACUUGCUUCCAUUUUACAAAUGGCAGUGAGAGGGUGUGCUUUAGGUAGGGGAUCAAGCUGAGCUUAAGGAAGACUGAUACAUGGCCACGUCCUACAAAUGGGUUAAGAAUGUUCCCUGAGCUUUAGGGUGUCCAAGAGUCUAACCAUUCUCUCUCUCUCUCUCUCUCUCUCUCUCUCUCUCUCUCUCUCUCUUCACUUUUAGAGAGAGGUAACUGCUGUCACCAAGGCACAAAUCACUGGUGAUACUUUGUUCCCAAUAGCUCCUGGAGUAAGAAUACCCUUUUUCCCUUCUAGCCUAGGGAGAAAAGAUACAUUUGGGAUGGGGAAACUACAGUCCUAAUGCAAUUUCUCCCAGUGAAUGUUUGUGUGCCUUUGAUACAGCAAUCAUGCGCUUCCUUUUAGUGUAAAGUGAACAAAAUAAUUCCUGAUUAUUGUUUCUGGAUAACUGUGCCUUUACAUUGAAUGCAUUUGAGGAUGGAUGUGUUAUGUCACAUUCAUAUAUUUAUUUCUUCACUUAUAAGUUACUUCUAGGCAUUGCUUCAGUAAAUUGCUUACUGUGUACUCUUUUCCUAGGAAGACAUUGAACUUUUUGACACACUAUCCAUCAGUAAGAGGUGUUGCCCUAUGGGUCAUAAUAAUAAGCACAAGCAUGUCAGAAGUUUCUCAGCUGCAAAGAUCUUGUUAUUGGUAGCCAUCCCGAUUGCCAGUUGAGAUGGAUCCGUAGCACUGAGUAUUUAGGAUGUAGCUCAAAGUUGAGAGUGAAGAAUCAGACUAAGGUCAUUCUAGGAACACAAGAUCUUAAACGAUAUGGGAAAUAAUCCAAAUGUUUAUUCAAUCAGGGGUCUCCAGUAGGUUGGCAGUUUCCAGCUUCAUACUUAAG